rnacentral:rRNA from 1 species
AUACGGGGGGUGCAAGCGUUAAUCGGAAUUACUGGGCGUAAAGCGCGCGUAGGCGGUUUGCUCAGUCGGAUGUGAAAGCCCAGGGCUCAACCUUGGAACUGCAUACGAUACUGGCAAACUAGAGUGUGAGAGGGGAUAGUGGAAUUUCCGGUGUAGCGGUGAAAUGCGUAGAUAUCGGAAGGAACAUCAGUGGCGAAGGCGACUGUCUGGCUCAACACUGACGCUGAGGUGCGAAAGCGUGGGUAGCAAACAGGAUUAGAAACCCUAGUAGUCC